rnacentral:rRNA from 1 species
CCUACGGGUGGCAGCAGUGAGGAAUAUUGGUCAAUGGACGCAAGUCUGAACCAGCCAUGCCGCGUGCAGGAAGACGGCUCUAUGAGUUGUAAACUGCUUUUGUACGAGGGUAAACGCAGAUACGCGUAUCUGUCUGAAAGUAUCGUACGAAUAAGGAUCGGCUAACUCCGUGCCAGCAGCCGCGGUAAUACGGAGGAUUCAAGCGUUAUCCGGAUUUAUUGGGUUUAAAGGGAGCGUAGGCGGGCUGUUAAGUCAGCGGUAAAAUGUCGGGGCUCAACCCCGCCGAGCCGUUGAAACUGGCUAGCUAGAGUGGGCGAGAAGUAUGCGGAAUGCGUGGUGUAGCGGUGAAAUGCAUAGAUAUCACGCAGAACUCCGAUUGCGAAGGCAGCAUACCGGCGCCCAACUGACGCGCAGGCACGAAAGCGUGGGUAUCGAACAGGAUUAGAUACCCCUGUAGUG